AGCAGCCGCGGUAAUACGAAGGGUGCAAGCGUUACUCGGAAUUAUUGGGCGUAAAGAGCUCGUAGGCGGUUCGUCGCGUCGGCUGUGAAAUCCUGAGGCUCAACCUCAGGCUUGCAGUCGAUACGGGCGGGCUGGAGUUCGGCAGGGGAGACUGGAAUUCCUGGUGUAGCGGUGAAAUGCGCAGAUAUCAGGAGGAACACCGGUGGCGAAGGCGGGUCUCUGGGCCGAUACUGACGCUGAGGAGCGAAAGCGUGGGGAGCGA
rnacentral:rRNA from 1 species